rnacentral:rRNA from 1 species
UACGUAGGGUGCAAGCGUUGUCCGGAAUUAUUGGGCGUAAAGAGCUUGUAGGCGGUUUGUCGCGUCUGCUGUGAAAUUUCGGGGCUCAACCCCGAACUUGCAGUGGGUACGGGCAGACUAGAGUGUGGUAGGGGAGACUGGAAUUCCUGGUGUAGCGGUGAAAUGCGCAGAUAUCAGGAGGAACACCAAUUGCGAAGGCAGCUCGCUGGGACGUAACUGACGCUGAGACGCGAAAGCGUGGGGAGCAAACAGG